rnacentral:rRNA from 1 species
UACGAAGGGGGCUAGCGUUGCUCGGAUUGACUGGGCGUAAAGGGCGCGUAGGCGGUUCGCACAGUCAGACGUGAAAUUCCUGGGCUCAACCUGGGGGCUGCGUUUGAUACGUGCGGACUUGAGUGCGGAAGAGGGUCGUGGAAUUCCCAGUGUAGAGGUGAAAUUCGUAGAUAUUGGGAGGAACACCGGUGGCGAAGGCGG